AGUGAACGCUGGCGGUAGGCCUAACACAUGCAAGUCGAACGAGUGGCGGACGGGUGAGGAAUACAUCGGAAUCUACUCUGUCGUGGGGGAUAACGUAGGGAAACUUACGCUAAUACCGCAUACGAUUGAAUGAGCCGAUGUCGGAUUAGCUAGUUGGCGGGGUAAAGGCCCACCAAGGCGACGAUCCGUAGCUGGUCUGAGAGGAUGAUCAGCCACACUGGAACUGAGACACGGUCCAGACUCCUACGGGAGGCAGCAGUGGGGAAUAUUGCACAAUGGGCGCAAGCCUGAUGCAGCCAUGCCGCGUGUAUGAAGAAGGCCUUCGGGUUGUAAAGUACUUUCAGCGGGGAGGCGUUACCCGCAGAAGAAGCACCGGCUAACUCCGUGCCAGCAGCCGCGGUAAUAC
rnacentral:rRNA from 1 species